UACGGAGGGUGCGAGCGUUGUCCGGAAUCACUGGGCGUAAAGCGCACGUAGGCGGCUUUUUAAGUCAGAGGUGAAAUCCUGGAGCUCAACUCCAGAACUGCCUUUGAUACUGGAGAGCUUGAGUCCGGGAGAGGUGAGUGGAACUGCGAGUGUAGAGGUGAAAUUCGUAGAUAUUCGCAAGAACACCAGUGGCGAAGGCGGCUCACUGGCCCGGUACUGACGCUGAGGCGCGAAAGCGUGGGGAGCGAACAGG
rnacentral:rRNA from 1 species